CAUAAACUGAGGAUGGCUUGGGUCACUCUUUCUUCUAUGUCUUUAUCUUUUUUCAUUCUUCUCAUAAUCACCUUCACUUCCUUCAUGCAACCAAUUCCAGUCACUGCAGAUUUGAAGAUAAGAAAGUUGGGUGUUCAACCAAGCCCACCUCCUCAACCCACGUUGGGAUUCGGAUUCAAACCACCACGUUCUAAACCUCCACCUUCCGGCUAACUUUACCUUCGCCUCCGAUUUCCAUGGCAUAAGAUCUUCAAUUAUUACUCAUAUAUGCUCCUUUUCUACUUUCUAUCAUUUCUUUCACUGUUUUAUUUUAUACACUAGUUUCAUGUGUAAUAUAAAUAACAUUAUUAUGUCAAAAUGUUAUUCCAAACGUUCAAAAGGGGAAAGACAGUAUUUAGUGUAUAACUUUUCUUCCUCGUUCAAAUAAAAUUAUAAUUAUUUAAUUUAGAAAUACUUAAUAUUACUUAAAUUUUAUUAUAAGAUUUAUCCUCA